ensembl:misc_RNA Metazoa_SRP Metazoan signal recognition particle RNA
GCCGGGUGUGGUGGCUCACGCCUGUAAUCCCAGCACUUUGGGAGGCCGAGAUGGGUGGAUCACUUGAGGUCAGGAGUUUGAGACCAGCCUGGCCAACAUGGUGAAACCCCGUCUCUA